rnacentral:lncRNA from 1 species
CAACUGUGGUGAAAAGCAGAGGAAUGCUGCUGUAAGAGUGUUUGUGUAGAGACUUGCAAAACACAGGAAAUAGCCAUGAUAUCCAGAAAAACAGAAUCCUUCAGCUCGCCAAGCAUAAAGAGUGCAAAGCGGUAUGGAUCACCACUCCAUGGGAACUGACGUGGGGGAACCAGGAGCCCAUAUGGCCGCUGUCACCCGCUGCUCUCUCUGCUGUUCCCACACCGAGAAUCCAGAGUCUGGCGGAGCCCAAACGAGACGUGUCUUUGAGCACCGACCCCCCCAG